UGCAUGGAGAAACGGCCUUACAAGCCUCUGCUAAUGUGUACAUAGUUUAUACUAAGUGACCCAUGGGUUGAGCAGUGGAGGAGGAGGAUGAGGUAGCCAACACUGUUAUAUAUAUAUAUUUUUUUUUUUUUUUAAUUGGGUUAGCACCCAAAAUAUUGGGAGAUAUAAAAAAAGACAACGCUGUUCCGCAGAGAAGCUGUUGAAAUUAUAGUUGCGCAGGUACUUUGUUGACUCCAGAGAACUUCGGGCCAAUCGCACAUCCCCGUGACAGCGACUUUGGAUGCAUUCGGAUGUCAUCCACAUCAACUUUCGAUGCCAGUUUCUGCGCCUACCAUGGUGACCGCGGGUAACAGGGAAUCAGGGUUCCAUUCCGUACAGGGACCCCGAGAAUCGGCUACCACAUGCAAGAAAGGCAGCAGACGCGCAAAUGACCCACUCCUGACAUGGGAAGGUAGUGACAACAAAUAACAAUACAGGAUUCUUUAGAGGCCCUGUAAUUGUAAUGAGUCCACUUGCAAUCCUUUAACUCUGAUCAAUUGGAGGGCAAGUCUGGUGCAGAGCGACUGACCCGUGUGUGUUGCAGCUGAAACUCCACU